UACGUAGGGGGCAAGCGUUGUCCGGAAUUACUGGGCGUAAAGAGCGCGUAGGCGGCACGGUACGACCGGUGUGAAAGCCCCCGGCUCAACUGGGGAGGGUCACCGGUAACGGUCGAGCUAUGAGUGCAGGAGAGGGAAGUGGAACUCCGGGAGUAGCGGUGAAAUGCGUAGAGACCCGGAGGAACACCAGUGGCGAAGGCGGCUUCCUGGUCUGCGACUGACGCUGUGGCGCGAAAGCUAGGGGAGCAAACGGG
rnacentral:rRNA from 1 species